rnacentral:rRNA from 1 species
CACGUAGGGCGCAAGCGUUGUCCGGAAUUAUUGGGCGUAAAGAGCUCGUAGGCGGUCUGUUGCGUCUGCUGUGAAAACUCGGGGCUUAACCCCGAGCCUGCAGUGGAUACGGGCAGACUAGAGGUAGGUAGGGGAGAAUGGAAUUCCCCGGUGUAGCGGUGAAAUGCGCAGAUAUCGGGAGGAACACCGAUGGCGAAGGCAGCUCGCUGGGACGGUACUGACGCUGAGGCGCGAAAGCGUGGGGAGCAAACAGGG